UACGGGGGGGGCAAGCGUUGUUCGGAAUUACUGGGCGUAAAGGGCUCGUAGGCGGCCAACUAAGUCAGACGUGAAAUCCCUCGGCUUAACCGGGGAACUGCGUCUGAUACUGGAUGGCUAGAGUUUGGGAGAGGGAUGCGGAAUUCCAGGUGUAGCGGUGAAAUGCGUAGAUAUCUGGAGGAACACCGGUGGCGAAGGCGGCAUCCUGGAUCAACACUGACGCUGAGGAGCGAAAGCCAGGGGAGCAAACGGG
rnacentral:rRNA from 1 species